UUGUUGUGGGUAACGGCUACCAAGGCAACGAUCAGUAGCCGACUUGAGAGAGUGAUCGGCCACAUUGGGACUGAGACACGGCCCAAACUCCUACGGGAGGCAGCAGUAGGGAAUAUUGCACAAUGGGGGAAACCCUGAUGCAGCGACGCCGCGUGAAGGAAGAAGUAUUUCGGUAUGUAAACUUCUAUCAGCAAGGAAGAAAAUGACGGUACUUGACUAAGAAGCCCCGGCUAAAUAC
rnacentral:rRNA from 1 species